CACAUAAGACAUGCAAGUCGAACGGACCAAUACGAUGUUUACAUUGUAAGAGGUUAGUAGGCGGACUGGUGAGUAACACGUAAGCAACCUGCCAUUAGAGGGGAAUAACACUGAGAAAUCAGUGCUAAUACCGCAUAAGCUAGUAGUACUGCAUGGUACAGCUAGAAAAGGAGUAAUCCGCUAAUAGAUGGGCUUGCGACUGAUUAGCUAGUUGGUGUGGUAAUGGCAUACCAAGGCAACGAUCAGUAGCCGGACUGAGAGGUUGAACGGCCACAUUGGGACUGAGAUACGGCCCAGACUCCUACGGGAGGCAGCAGUCGGGAAUAUUGCGCAAUGGAAGGGAACUCUGACGCAGUGACGCCGCGUAUAGGAAGAAGGUUUUCGGAUUGUAAACUAUUGUCGUUAGGGAAGAAAAGGACAGUACCUAAGGAGGAAGCCCCGGCUAACUAUGUGCCAGCCGCCGC
rnacentral:rRNA from 1 species